AUUGCCUCCUGACAACAGUCUGAUGGAGCUAAAGGCAGCUUCUCCUGCAGUUGAGAGUCUCGCCUUGUCACCCAGGUUAGCACGAUCUCGGCUCACUGCAACCUCCACCUGCCGGCUUCAAGCAAUUCUCCUGCCUCAGCCUCCCGAGUAGCUGGGAUUACAGGCAUGUGCCACCACACCUGGCUAUUUUUUGUAUUUUUAAUAGAGACAGAGUUUCACCAUGUUGGCCAGGCUGGGCUUGAACUGCUGACCUCAGGGGAUCCACCCGCCUCAGCCUCCCAGAAUGCUGGGAUUACAGGCAUGAGCCACUGCACUCGGCCCGGUGUUUCUUUUUGUGACUACGAAAAAGGAUGGUUGUGUCUCUGAAUUAGUCAUUAGCCAAUGAGUAUCUGCUCUGAAUCCGCAGCAAAAAUGGAAACAAAAUAAUCAUUUUAAGUUCUCAUUAAGUAAAACACAUGGAGGUCGUUGUGAAUUUUGUUCUGUUGGAAAACUUAAAAGGAAUAAAUAUCAUCUUUUUUACUCUGAUCAUUCAAAUUUUGCCUCCUUUAAGUGCUCAUCCUGCUGGAUUGUAGAGAAAUUCCCGGGUUUUAUGAGCACUCACCACCACCACCUUCGCCACCACCUCCGCCACCACCUCAGGAAACUUAAGGAGGCACCAGGGGUCUGAGGCAGCCUGCAGUGUUAGGUCACUGCGAUAUUCUGCCCUGGUUUCUACCGACGAGUUCAUUGUCCAGUUGGUUCCUAAUAGGACUGCUACGAUAAACAAUUCCAGAGGGUACCACUCACCAUAGACCAAGUGUAAAUUGUUCCUCUGGAAAUGUCCAAAAAAUACAUGUCACCUCAAUGCUGCUGUGCAAAGCUGUAGCACAGGAAAGACUGCCAAUUCUGGAAGCCUCUGCAAAGGGGGUCCAGCCAGCCGUUCCCUUCUGAUACUCCCCCUCCUCCCGGGAGCACUGUGCGGCGGCAGGAUGCCAGUAAUCACAUACCUCUGUCCUUCCCAGUUUUGGAAAACUUCACCAGAGCUUCCAAGACUCCUUCUCCAAAUCUUCUUGAUUUUCCUCUUCUAGAAGUCACCCACCCACCU
rnacentral:lncRNA from 1 species